UACAGAGGGGGCAAGCGUUGUUCGGAAUUACUGGGCGUAAAGGGCGCGUAGGCGGCCUGCUAAGUCGAACGUGAAAUCCCUGGGCUCAACCCAGGAACUGCGUCCGAUACUGGUUGGCUUGAAUCCGGGAGAGGGACGUGGAAUUCCAGGUGUAGCGGUGAAAUGCGUAGAUAUCUGGAAGAACACCCGUGGCGAAGGCGGCUCGCUGGGACGGUACUGACGCUGAGACGCGAAAGCGUGGGGAGCGAACAGG
rnacentral:rRNA from 1 species